UUUCCGUAGGUGAACCUGCGGAAGGAUCAUUACUGAUUUGCUUAAUUGCACCACAUGUGUUUUUUAUUGAACAAAUUUCUUUGGUGGCGGGAGCAAUCCUACCGCCAGAGGUUAUAACUAAACCAAACUUUUUAUUUACAGUCAAACUUGAUUUAUUAUUACAAUAGUCAAAACUUUCAACAACGGAUCUCUUGGUUCUC
rnacentral:misc_RNA from 1 species